CCAACACUGGGACUGAGAACUGCCCAGACUCCUACGGGAGGCUGCAGUCGAGAAUCAUUCGCAAUGGGCGAAAGCCUGACGAUGCGACGCCGUGUGAGCGAAGAAGGCCUUAGGGUCGUAAAGCUCUUUCGCUUGGGAACAAGAGAAGUUGGCUAAUAACCAGCUAAUUUGAGGGUACCAGG
rnacentral:rRNA from 1 species